AACGAACGCUGGCGGCAGGCUUAACACAUGCAAGUCGAGCGCCCCGCAAGGGGAGCGGCAGACGGGUGAGUAACGCGUGGGAAUCUACCGUGCCCUAAGGAAUAGCUCCGGGAAACUGGA
rnacentral:rRNA from 1 species